rfam:Schistosoma curassoni strain Dakar, Senegal genome assembly, scaffold: SCTD_contig0000729
AUCCAAUUGACAAGUCCCAAAUAGGACGAAAAACGAGUCCUGGAU